rnacentral:rRNA from 1 species
UCAGGAUGAACGCUGGCGGCGUGCUUAACACAUGCAAGUCGAACGGGGAUUACACGGAGAUGCGAUUUCGGUCAAAUCAAGUGCAAUCUUAGUGGCGGACGGGUGAGUAACGCGUGGGUAACCUGCCUUGCACUGGGGGAUAACACUUAGAAAUAGGUGCUAAUACCGCAUAAGCGCACGGUCCUGCAUGGGACAGUGUGAAAAACUCCGGUGGUGCAAGAUGGACCCGCGUCUGAUUAGCUGGUUGGCGGGGUAAAGGCCCACCAAGGCGACGAUCAGUAGCCGGCCUGAGAGGGUGGACGGCCACAUUGGGACUGAGACACGGCCCAAACUCCUACGGGAGGCAGCAGUGGGGGAUAUUGGACAAUGGGGGGAACCCUGAUCCAGCGACGCCGCGUGAGUGAAGAAGUAUUUCGGUAUGUAAAGCUCUGUCAGCAGGGAAGAAAGCAAUGACGGUACCUGACCAAGAAGCCCCGGCUAACUACGUGCCAGCAGCCGCGGUAAUACGUAGGGGGCAAGCGUUAUCCGGAAUUACUGGGUGUAAAGGGAGCGUAGACGGCUGUGCAAGUCUGGAGUGAAAGGCGGGGGCCCAACCCCCGGACUGCUCUGGAAACUGUAUGGCUGGAGUGCAGGAGAGGUAAGCGGAAUUCCUAGUGUAGCGGUGAAAUGCGUAGAUAUUAGGAGGAACACCAGUGGCGAAGGCGGCUUACUGGACUGUAACUGACGUUGAGGCUCGAAAGCGUGGGGAGCAAACAGGAUUAGAUACCCUGGUAGUCCACGCCGUAA